CAGGAUUUGUCUAAAGUGGGUGGAAGGGGAAGCUUUCCAGCAUCAAAGGCUUUGUCCUGACCUUGGGUGUUUGGGUGCAGUGCCAGGUCACGGUCCUGACAGAAGCACCUCCCCUGGAAGUGAGGCCCACUGUUGGCAGUGAGCAGGUUGGACAUCUCAAGAUUUUCAACUGCUCCUGUCCUCCUGGACAAAAGGGGGAGAGGGGUCCACUUGGCUUUGAAGGUCCCAAAGGUCAAAAGGGAGAAAGAGGCAUCCCAGGGCUUCCUGGACUUCGAGGAGAAAAAGGAGAGUCAGGCAAAGCCUAUGGCAUAGGAGAAAAAGGAGAAAAGGGUGAAGAAGGCUUUCCUGGCUUUCCUGGACUGAAAGGGGACAAAGGAGAAAAAGUAAGUCCAAGUCUUUAUUAAUUAUACUCUAAAAAGUUUAAGAGUUUAAAAAGAUGCUGUGGAAGUCUAAUGAA
rnacentral:lncRNA from 1 species